GAUGAACGCUAGCUACAGGCUUAACACAUGCCAGUCGAGGGGCAGCAUGAACUUAGCUUGCUAAGUUUGAUGGCGACCGGCGCACGGGUGAGUAACACGUAUCCAACCUGCCGAUGACUCGGGGAUAGCCUUUCGAAAGAAAGAUUAAUACCCGAUGGCAUAGUUCUUCCGCAUGGUAGAACUAUUAAAGAAUUUCGGUCAUCGAUGGGGAUGCGUUCCAUUAGGUUGUUGGCGGGGUAACGGCCCACCAAGCCUUCGAUGGAUAGGGGUUCUGAGAGGAAGGUCCCCCACAUUGGAACUGAGACACAGUCCAAACUCCUACGGGAGGCAGCAGUGAGGAAUAUUGGGCAAUGGACGAGAGUCUGAACCAGCCAAGUAGCGUGAAGGAUGACUGCCCUAUGGGUUGUAAACUUCUUUUAUACGGGAAUAAAGUGAGGCACGUGUGCCUUUUUGUAUGUACCGUAUGAAUAAGGAUCGGCUAACUCCGUG
rnacentral:rRNA from 1 species